CCUGAUUCAGUUUGGCAGUGGAUCCAGAGUGCAUCAGUUGAUGUUCGUCUAGAUCCAAGUUCCUGCAACCGCUGGCUAUCUGUGUCAGAAGACAAUCUGGA